rnacentral:rRNA from 1 species
GUAACAGGAAGCAGCUUGCUGCUUUGCUGACGAGUGGCGGACGGGUGAGUAAUGUCUGGGAAACUGCCUGAUGGAGGGGGAUAACUACUGGAAACGGUAGCUAAUACCGCAUAACGUCGCAAGACCAAAGAGGGGGACCUUAGGGCCUCUUGCCAUCGGAUGUGCCCAGAUGGGAUUAGCUAGUAGGUGGGGUAAAGGCUCACCUAGGCGACGAUCCCUAGCUGGUCUGAGAGGAUGACCAGCCACACUGGAACUGAGACACGGUCCAGACUCCUACGGGAGGCAGCAGUGGGGAAUAUUGCACAAUGGGCGCAAGCCUGAUGCAGCCAUGCCGCGUGUAUGAAGAAGGCCUUCGGGUUGUAAAGUACUUUCAGCGGGGAGGAAGGGAGUAAAGUUAAUACCUUUGCUCAUUGACGUUACCCGCAGAAGAAGCACCGGCUAACUCCGUGCCAGCAGCCGCGGUAAUACGGAGGGUGCAAGCGUUAAUCGGAAUUACUGGGCGUAAAGCGCACGCAGGCGGUUUGUUAAGUCAGAUGUGAAAUCCCCGGGCUCAACCUGGGAACUGCAUCUGAUACUGGCAGGCUUGAGUCUCGUAGAGGGGGGUAGAAUUCCAGGUGUAGCGGUGAAAUGCGUAGAGAUCUGGAGGAAUACCGGUGGCGAAGGCGGCCCCCUGGACGAAGACUGACGCUCAGGUGCGAAAGCGUGGGGAGCAAACAGG